rnacentral:rRNA from 1 species
UACGGGGGGGGCAAGCGUUGUUCGGAAUUACUGGGCGUAAAGGGCUCGUAGGCGGCCAACUAAGUCGGACGUGAAAUCCCCAGGCUCAACCUGGGAACUGCGUCCGAUACUGGAUGGCUUGAAUUCGGGAGAGGGAUGCAGAAUUCCAGGUGUAGCGGUGAAAUGCGUAGAUAUCUGGAGGAAUACCGGUGGCGAAGGCGGCAUCCUGGACCGACAUUGACGCUGAACGGCGAAAGCUAGGGGAGCGAAACGGG